AUUGAACGCUGGCGGCAUGCCUUACACAUGCAAGUCGAACGGUAACAGGUUAAGCUGACGAGUGGCGAACGGGUGAGUAAUGUAUCGGAAUGUGCCCAGUCGUGGGGGAUAACUGCUCGAAAGAGCAGCUAAUACCGCAUACGACCUGAGGGUGAAAGCGGGGGAUCGCAAGACCUCGCGCGAUUGGAGCGGCCGAUAUCAGAUUAGGUAGUUGGUGAGGUAAAGGCUCACCAAGCCGACGAUCUGUAGCUGGUCUGAGAGGACGACCAGCCACACUGGGACUGAGACACGGCCCAGACUCCUACGGGAGGCAGCAGUGGGGAAUUUUGGACAAUGGGCGCAAGCCUGAUCCAGCCAUGCCGCGUGCGGGAAGAAGGCCUUCGGGUUGUAAACCGCUUUUGUCAGGGAAGAAAAGGUUCUGGCUAAUACCUGGGACUCAUGACGGUACCUGAAGAAUAAGCACCGGCUAACUACGUG
rnacentral:rRNA from 1 species